CAGAGACCAGCCUUGAACUCUAGAACUUCCUGCGUUCACCUCCCAAGGGCUAGGAUUACAGCUCUGGCUGUCCUGGAACUCACUUUGUGAACCAGGCUGGCCUCAAACCCACAGAGAUCUGCCUGCCUCCAGGAUUAAAGUCGUGUACCACCCCUGCCAGGCUCUGAAAUCUUUUUGACGACAACAACAGCAGCAGCACACCUAUUCUUGGGCUGAGGAGAUGGUUAAGUUGCCUGCAAGCAUAAGGAUCCCAAGCACCCAAGUGAAAAGACACCUGCAGUAGCGUGCACCUGUAAUCCCAGCCCCGGGGAAGCAGAGACAGCAGAUCCCCGGAAGCUCAGGGGCCGCUUAGUCUGGUGAAGUUCGCGGCCAGUGGAAGACUUCUCUCAAACAAAAGGAGGAGAGCACCUGAAGAAUGGCACCCAAAGUUGUCCUCUGACUCCACAUGUGCGUCUUCACCCCCACAAAAUGCCCACAUACUCACACACACCCAACACACACACCUCUCUUCCUGCCAUGGUCCCUUGCAGCUGCUAGCGCCUCAGCUUUUGGUGUCUCCCUUCUGAGCCAUUGCAGACUUCCCCAAAACCUUCCAAUCUUCUGCCCCAAUCCAUUGUUUUAGUUAUUACCAGGGAAACUUGUCUGUAAUCAGCUUUGGCUUGUCAUCGGAACCCUUUUGCUACCCCCUUGUUGCCUGUAAAAUGCCCCAGCAUUCCUUACAAAGGCCUUGAUUCUGAUGGCCUCAGCUAUGGCUCCAAACUGCCUUCACAGCUUCAUGGUCAGUAUUUCUCUUGUUCCUACGUUUGCCUUAGGAUACCUAAAUUAUCCACUGACCUCUGUAGGGACUUCUCCCUGAAGCCUGAAUAGUCUCCUUACCCUUGUUUACAUCCACACUCUAACUGAGACCUUUCCUAAUCUUAACUAUACUUAUGGAGAAGGCACAGAGAUUUUGUCUAAAACUUUAUGGCAUUUUUAUGCCACAUGGCUUGUUCAUAUUCUGUCACUCAGCAGCUGGCACCUUGAGGGUACCCACCACGCUCUGAUUUACCUUGUUCUCCUCACAGCAUGAAGGACACUAAAUAGAUACAUUUUUAAAGAUAUGUUUGUGUUUGCCUGCAUGUGUGUGCAUCACAUGCAUGCCUGGUGUCCAAGGAAACCAAGAAGAGGACAUUGGAAACCACCCUGGAACUGGAGUUAAGGGUGGUUGUAAACCAUCAUAUGGGAACUGAACCAGGUCCUCUGAAAGAGCAAUACAUGCUUUUAACUAUUGAGCUGUCUGAAUAGAUAUUUCUUUUUUUUAAUAAAUCACUUAACUUUA